UACGUAGGGUGCAAGCGUUGUCCGGAAUUAUUGGGCGUAAAGAGCUCGUAGGCGGUUCGUCACGUCGGCUGUGAAAUCCCGAGGCUCAACCUCGGGUCUGCAGUCGAUACGGGCGGACUGGAGUACUGCAGGGGAGACUGGAAUUCCUGGUGUAGCGGUGAAAUGCGCAGAUAUCAGGAGGAACACCGGUGGCGAAGGCGGGUCUCUGGGCCGUAACUGACGCUGAGGAGCGAAAGCAUGGGGAGCGAACAGG
rnacentral:rRNA from 1 species